rnacentral:rRNA from 1 species
CCUACGGGUGGCAGCAGUGAGGAAUAUUGGUCAAUGGACGAGAGUCUGACCCAGCCACGUAGCGUGAAGGAUGACUGCCCUAUGGGUUGUAAACUUCUUUUAUAUGGGAGUAAAAUGUUCCACGUGUGUGAUUUUGUAUGUACCAUAUGAAUAAGGAUCGGCUAACUCCGUGCCAGCCGCCGCGGUAAUACGGAGGAUCCGAGCGUUAUCCGGAUUUAUUGGGUUUAAAGGGAGCGUAGGUGGAUUGUUAAGUCAGUUGUGAAAGUUUGCGGCUCAACCGUAAAAUGGCAGUUGAAACUGGCAGUCUUGAGUACAGUAGAGGUGGGCGGAAUUCGUGGUGUAGCGGUGAAAUGCUUAGAUAUCACGAAGAACUCCGAUUGCGAAGGCAGCUCACUGGACUGCAACUGACACUGAGGCUCGAAAGUGUGGGUAUCAAACAGGAUUAGAUACCCCGGUAGUC